GAUGAACGCUGGCGGCGUGCUUAACACAUGCAAGUCGAACGGAAAGGCCACAGCUUGCUGUGGUACUCGAGUGGCGAACGGGUGAGUAACACGUGGGUGAUCUGCCCUGUACUUCGGGAUAAGCUUGGGAAACUGGGUCUAAUACCGGAUAGGAAUCACAUGUGGGUGUGUGGUUGGAAAGCUUUUGCGGUAUGGGAUGAGCUCGCGGCCUAUCAGCUUGUUGGUGGGGUAAUGGCCUACCAAGGCGUCGACGGGUAGCCGGCCUGAGAGGGUGUACGGCCACGUUGGGACUGAGAUACGGCCCAGACUCCUACGGGAGGCAGCAGUGGGGAAUAUUGCACAAUGGGCGCAAGCCUGAUGCAGCGACGCCGCGUGGGGGAUGACGGCCUUCGGGUUGUAAACUCCUUUCGUCAGGGACGAAGCGAAAGUGACGGUACCUGGAUAAGAAGCACCGGCUAACUACGUG
rnacentral:rRNA from 1 species